UACGGAGGGAGCUAGCGUUGUUCGGAAUUACUGGGCGUAAAGCGCACAUAGGCGGCUUUGUAAGUUAGAGGUGAAAGCCCGGGGCUCAACUCCGGAACUGCCUUUAAGACUGCAUCGCUUGAAUCCGGGAGAGGUGAGUGGAAUUCCGAGUGUAGAGGUGAAAUUCGUAGAUAUUGGGAAGAACACCGGUGGCGAAGGCGGCUCACUGGCUCAUUACUGACGCUCAGGCGCGAUAGCGUGGGGAUCAAACAGG
rnacentral:rRNA from 1 species